rnacentral:rRNA from 1 species
GACGUAGGGCGCAAGCGUUGUCCGGAAUUAUUGGGCGUAAAGAGCUCGUAGGCGGCUUGUUGCGUCGACUGUGAAAAACCACGACUCAACCGUGGGACUGCAGUCGAUACGGGCAGGCUAGAGUUCGGUAGGGGAGACUGGAAUUCCUGGUGUAGCGGUGAAAUGCGCAGAUAUAGGGAAGAACACCAAUCAAGCGAAGGCAGUUAACUAUUCUAUUCCUGACAUUGAGGCAUGAAAGCGUGGGGAGCAAAACGG